rnacentral:rRNA from 1 species
UACGUAGGCAGCGAGCGUUGUUCGGAGUUACUGGGCGUAAAGGGUGUGUAGGCGGUUGUUUAAGUUUGGUGUGAAAUCUCCCGGCUCAACCGGGAGGGUGCGCCGAAUACUGAAUGACUAGAGUGCGGGAGAGGAAAGUGGAAUUCCUGGUGUAGCGGUGAAAUGCGUAGAUAUCAGGAGGAACACCGGUGGCGAAGGCGGCUACCUGGACAGAAACUGACGCUGAGGCGCGAAAGCUAGGGGAGCAAACAGG